rnacentral:rRNA from 1 species
UACGGAGGAUGCGAGCGUUAUCCGGAUUUAUUGGGUGUAAAGGGUGCGUAGACGGGAAAUUAAGUUAGUUGUGAAAUCCCUCGGCUUAACUGAGGAACUGCAACUAAAACUGAUUUUCUUGAGUACUGGAGAGGAAAGUGGAAUUCCUAGUGUAGCGGUGAAAUGCGUAGAUAUAACUUAGAACACCGAUAGCGAAGGCAGCUUACCAGACUGAGUCUGACGCUGAUGCACGAGAGCAUGGGUAGCGAACAGG